rnacentral:misc_RNA from 1 species
AAAGUCGUAACAAGGUUUCCGUAGGUGAACCUGCGGAAGGAUCAUUAAACGUCUUGCCUUUAGUUAGGUAUUGUCGGGGGGCCGAUACGCAUUACUCUUUCAGUGUAACCACGAAAAGUCUUGCCUCUACCGCCCCUGCCUGAACCCGUGUUUUUGCGUACUACUUGUUUCCUUGGUGGGCUUGCCUGCCAAAUGGACCACAUUAAACCCUUGUAAUUGCAGUCAGCGUCAGAAAAUAAAAAUAAAUUACAACUUUCAACAACGGAUCUCUUGGCUCUG